rnacentral:rRNA from 1 species
GCGGCAUGCCUAACACAUGCAAGUCGAACGAAAGCUUCGGCCUUAGUGGCGCACGGGUGCGUAACGCGUGGGAAUCUGCCCUUAGGUACGGAAUAACUCACGGAAACUUGAGCUAAUACCGCAUAAUGACUCCGGUCCAAAGAUCUUAUCGCCUAAGGAUGAGCCCGUCGUCGGAUUAACUAAUUGGUAGGGUAAAAGCCUACCAAGGCGACGAUCCGUAGCUGGUCUGAGAGGAUGAUCAGCCAUACUGGGACUGAGACACGGGCCACACUCCUACGGGAGGCAUCAGUGGGGAAUAUUGGACAAUGGGCGCAAGCCUGAUCCAACAAUGCCGCGUGAGUGAUGAACGCCUUACGGUUGUAAAGCUCUUUUACCCGGGAUGAUAAUGACAGUACCGGGAGAAUAAGCCCCGGCUAACUCCGUGCCAGCAGCCGCGGUAAUACGGAGGGGGCUA